rnacentral:rRNA from 1 species
GAUGAACGCUGGCGGCGUGCCUAAUACAUGCAAGUCGAGCGAACAGAUGAGGCUCUUUCUCCUCUGACGCUAGCGGCGGACGGGUGAGUAACACGUGUAUAACCUACCUAUAAGACUGGGAUCCCUUCAGGAGACCGGAGCUAAUACCGGAUAAUAUAUUGAACCGCAUGGUUCUAUAGUCCACGCCGUUUUUGCUGUCACUUAUAGAUGGAUCCGCGCCGCAUUAGCUAGUUGGUAAGGUAACGGCUUACCAAGGCAACGAUGCGUAGCCGACCUGAGAGGGUGAUCGGCCACACUGGAACUGAGACACGGUCCAGACUCCUACGGGAGGCAGCAGUAGGGAAUCUUCCGCAAUGGGCGAAAGCCUGACGGAGCAACGCCGCGUGAGUGAUGAAGGUCUUCGGAUCGUAAAACUCUGUUAGUAGGGAAGAACAAAUGUGUAAGUAACUAUGCACGUCUUGACGGUACCUAAUCAGAAAGCAACGGCUAACUACGUG